rnacentral:rRNA from 1 species
CCUACGGGUGGCUGCAGUGGGGAAUAUUGGGCAAUGGAGGAAACUCUGACCCAGCAACGCCGCGUGAAUGAUGAAGGUCUUCGGAUUGUAAAGUUCUUUUCUAAGGGAAGAAGAAAGUGACGGUACCUUAGGAAUAAGCCUCGGCUAACUACGUGCCAGCAGCCGCGGUAAUACGUAGGAGGCGAGCGUUAUCCGGAUUUACUGGGUGUAAAGGGAGCGUAGACGGUUAUGUAAGUCUGGAGUGAAAGCCCGGGGCCCAACCCCGGGACUGCUUUGGAAACUGUGUAACUGGAGUACAGGAGGGGCAGGCGGAAUUCCUGGUGUAGCGGUGAAAUGCGUAGAUAUCAGGAGGAACACCGGCGGCGAAGGCGGCCUGCUGGACUGAAACUGACGUUGAGGCUCGAAAGCGUGGGGAGCAAACAGGAUUAGAUACCCUUGUAGUC